CGUCCCUGGGCUUAACUGGGGUGGGGGUGGGAGGCCUCAGGCCCCAGAGGGGUCCCACGAAUCAGCAGGGAGGGUGUGCAAUGCUCUGCAUAGCAAAGCUGGGCCACACCAGGGGCUCCAGCUAAGGGGCUUUUUGGGGACCCCCCUGGGGACUCCCUCGCCCAAGGGCAGAGACCCCAGAACCUGCAGGGUCUCCUGAGUUCAGCACAAUGCAGGGCACCAAGUACCAGGUCCCCCUCUCCCCUGAUAUGUUGUAGUGACGAUGUCCCUGUCCCCUGGGGUUGUGGGAACCUCAGCUCAGAGCCCCUUUGAGCAGCCUUGAGCCUUGAGUUCCCACAUUCCUGAGAACUGCCCCUCUGGGCAGCUGUGGAGGUGGGGGCCCCGUGUGCGUGGGGUGACUCUGCAGGGUGCCCCUCCUCUUGCCUCUGUGUCAGCCCUUCCCCCUCCACGGGGCUGGGUGGAGGGUGGAGGGGAUGCCCUCUGUAGCUGGGGCAACCCCCUAGGCUGCACUGCCUUCCUGCCCUUCUGGAAUCAUGACAGUCUCCCCCAUCACGUUAGUGCGAAUGGGGCUCUGAGGCCUGAGAGGGGAAGGGCCUCCCGGACCCCCAUGUCUUGCCUCAAGUCGCAUCCCAGCAGUGAAAACGCAUCCCAGCAGUGAAAACAGGGGCCGGGCUGGAUCAGUGGGUUCCAGGGGGUGGAUGAUAGGCCUGUCAGUGGUGGAAACUUCUGUUCAGGUGAAAGCUCAUGCAGAUGCAAACCCCUGGGAGCUGAGCUUUCGGCUGCCCUCCCUGGCCCACCUCCCUGGAGCGGACUUGUGGCGGGGUCCCCUCUGUUCCUUGGUGUAUCCAUCUCUCUGGGCUUUGGGCUCCUAUUGUAAAAUAGGACUGGAGGGGCAGAGGGUGUGCAAGGUGACCCUGUGCCAUGCCUGACACAUGUCAGAACCAGCAGGCAGCUGCCAGACGUCAGGGGAUGGCGCCCCUGCGGGCCGUGGCGAUGCGCCAGGGCUGGGCCCAGUCCUGGCGAGGGCAGCGUGGGGUCUUCCUUGCAGGGACCGGGAAGCAUUCAGGAGCCUUUGGCUCUGAGGAUCCGAAACCCCAUCUGGUGGAGGCAAGGAGAGAAAGAGGAAUUGAAUGGCUGAGGUCACCAGGAGGCGGCCAGCGUCAGGACAGCCCCUUCAGGUCUUAAUCCAUCGAUCCUGCCACCUCUUGUCUGCACCUUCCAUAUCUUUCCCCAAUAGAAUCUCUUCCAAUAGCAAGGAAAUGAAUUCAAGUCUCUCUGGAAUGUUGUCUAUGGCACCAGAGCGUGGCCACAGGUCAAAGGCACUCAUUUGCAAUAUUCAAGUCUCUGGGGACACGGGAGCCUUCCAAUCCUUCACCCUCCUUCAGCCAGGCCCACCGAGGACACUCCGCUGAUCAAGCCAGCCUGGGGUCCUGUCACCUCUCUUUAAGGCUGGGGGAAUCUGGGUCCAGGAGUUCCUGACUUUCUGGUCUUUGGGUCCUGCCCAGCCCUGAGCCCUCCACGCCCCCAGGACAAGACACCAACUCAGAUCCCACUAAGCCUGAGUGGUCACAGGGUCCUCAGGAGGUCUGGGGCAGCCACUUCCUCUGGCCCAUCCCUCCGUGGCCUCCUGGCCCUGCUAUCCCUGCCCUCCACCCCUUGUGGCCACCCCCCUGGGGCACAGGCGGUUUGUCGGACUGUGUUUGGGGUUUGGCCGCAUCUCCUUCUGCUGGAGCGUAAUCUCCCAAGAGUAGGGCGACGUCUUCUUGUCUUCUCGUUGUUUUAUACCAUUCGUGCCUGGCCACAAUGAUAACAGCUACUGUGUUUUUUGGGACUUGCACAGUCGUCCCUCGUAUCUGUGGGGGAUUGGUUUCAGGACCCCUGGAGGAUGAAAGAUCAAUGGAUGC
rnacentral:lncRNA from 1 species